rnacentral:sRNA from 1 species
GUGUGCGGCUGGCUCGUCCCGCCCCUGCCCCUGAGUGACAGGACCGUGGACAGCAACAUUUCCCACAGGACACGAAGUUUGUCGGCCCUUGCCUUGGCAGAGCUGAGUAUAGUUUAUUACCUAUCCAGGUCCGUUUUGGACAAAGAAAAGCUGAUUACUUUUAGUACAUGUCACUGGAAUAUCAUUACUUGAUACUUAGAACUUUUU